rnacentral:lncRNA from 1 species
CAAACAUAUAGGAAAGGUAAGAGCUGAGUUCAUGUUCCAGAGGGCGAAAGUCAGGACGCAGAGGUGGGUGGGACUGUUUCUGUUUGGCAUCUCUUGAGUCAGAAAAGAAGCAAGCACAUCAGAACGGCAGCAAGAGGGAUCGAGGUGAGACGGCAAGACGUUCUGACUUCCAGGGCUGCAUGUCAUCAACACAAUGCUGGAAGCCAAGCUUGCACAUUCUAGGCAGCCAUUUGGAAGAUUCUUCUCUGCGCAUGACCAGCUGAAAAGGAAAAACCCCGAAACAUUGGCACUGUGAUUUCUCCAUGUGAACAGUUUAGUUCGCCGAGGUGGACAUGCCUCAUUCAUGCUUAUGGAGUGACCGACCAGCCUUUAGUGACACCCCCUGAAAUGUGAGUCAUCCAUGGGUCACUAGUCAUUGGAGAAGAGCCCCUUAUACAAAACUUGGAGCUCAGACCACAAACAACAACAACAAUCCAAAAAAUAAAAAAAUGAAAAAUUAGGAGCAGAGACUAAAUGGAAAGAUGGA